GCCAUUUUAAGAAAUGAGCCGUGCCACGAGAAAACCAGCAUAAGGAAAUGAGCCCCGCCAUGAGAAAACCAACAUAGUGGGUUUGCGACCAGCGUGGAUCCAGACCAGCCUGCGCAUCCUGCUCAAGUUCUUUAUGUAGACUAAUUUGAACCUUUCAGAUGCUGUCAGCGAAUAGGACUUGCAUCGCCGUAAAAUGGACUGGCUGGCCUGCUGACCGAGGGAGAAGACGGACUGGCUGGCCUGCUGACCGAGGGAGAAGACGGACUGGCUGGCCUGCUGACCGAGGGAGAAGACGGACUGGCUGGCCUGCUGACCGAGGGAGAAGACGGACUGGCUGGCCUGCUGACCGAGGGAGAAGACGGACUGGCUGGCCUGCUGACCGACUGGUGGAGGAGAUAAUAAUAGCACCCUGCUGGCACACUGAUGAUGGCGUCAGCGAGUAGGACUUUCAUCGCCGUAAAAAGGACUUAGGACUUCAACCGAGGGAAAGGACCGACUGGCUGACGGACUGGUGGAGAGACUGGUGGAGCUGACGGACUGGUGGAGCUGACAGACUGGUGGAGGAGAUAAUAAUAACAUGACACCUGCUGACCCACUGAUGGACAAACAACAAGUAUCCCUGCUCCCAUCAGAUCACUUCCUCCAGAUGCCUCCUCCAACAUCCUGGGAAUCAACCAAUCACAGCACAGCAAGCAGUGGGCAACAAGUGUACAUGUGUCAUAUGAAAUAUUACAAGAUAAACUACACAAAGUGCGAAUAGAUCGGGCCAUAAGUGAAGGUGUACCGGGACAAACAACAAGUAUCCCUGCUCCCAUCAGAACACUUCCUCCAGAUGCCUCCUCCAACAUCCUGGGGAUCAACCAAUCACAGCACAGCAAGCAGUGGGCAACAAGUGUACAUGUGUCAUAUGAAAUAUUACAAGAUAAACUACACAAAGUGUGGAUAGAUCGGGCCAGAAGUGAAGGUGUACCGGGUACGCGUGCGCAUUGUUUUCGAACUUAUUCAUUUAUUUGAAAUUACUUGAAAUAAAAAUAAACACACAUUGCCUCCUCUAUAUGUUUAAUAAUUACCUUGCAAACAAUUCUAUCAUAACAACAAAUGUAACAAAAUAAAGUGAUCAUAAGUUAAAUAAUUAAUAACUUUUUAUGUCAAAAAUAAGUAACCUCCUCAACGGGACCGGGUACGCCUGAGACUCCUGCCCAGCUGAUGAAGGUUAAUGAACUUAACUGCCUUGCCAACAAUUCUGAACAUACCCAACAACAAAAAUUAAAUAUGACAAAAAUAAAGUUAUCCG